rnacentral:lncRNA from 1 species
AGCAUCGGAGGAUUCACACAGGAGAGAAGCCCUAUGGAUGCAACGAGUGUGGGAAAACCUUCAGCCACAGCUCCUCACUCAGCCAGCAUGAGCGGACACACACAGGAGAGAAGCCCUAUGAGUGCAGUCAGUGUGGGAAGGCCUUCCGGCAGAGCACACACCUCACCCAACACCAGCGAAUCCACACAGGGGAGAAGCCCUAUGAAUGCAAUGACUGCGGCAAGGCAUUCAGUCACAGCUCGUCCCUCACCAAACAUCAGCGAAUCCACACUGGGGAGAAGCCCUACGAAUG